rnacentral:rRNA from 1 species
AACGAACGCUGGCGGCAGGCCUAACACAUGCAAGUCGAGCGAACCCUUCGGGGUUAGCGGCGGACGGGUUAGUAACGCGUGGGAAUAUACCCUUUGGUACGGAAUAGCCUCGGGAAACUGAGAGUAAUACCGUAUGUGCCCUUCGGGGAAGAUUAUCGCCAAAGGAUUAGCCCGCGUUGGAUUAGGUAGUUGGUGGGGUAAGUGGCCUACCAAGCCUACGAUCCAUAGCUGGUUUGAGAGGAUGAUCAGCAACACUGGGACUGAGACACGGCCCAGACUCCUACGGGAGGCAGCAGUGGGGAAUCUUAGACAAUGGGCGCAAGCCUGAUCUAGCCAUGCCGCGUGGACGAUGAAGGCCUUAGGGUUGUAAAGUCCUUUCAGAUGGGAAGAUAAUGACGGUACCAUCAGAAGAAGCCCCGGNUAACUCCGUG